rnacentral:rRNA from 1 species
GAGAGCACCUGCUUUGCAAGCAGGAGGUCAUCGGUUCGAUCCCGUUAACCUCCAUAGAUGAAGAAAUUCAUCGAACUCGUACCUUGAAAACUGGAUAUUAAGAAAUAAAGAAACACCGAAAACUGCGCGACAGAUUUAGAAAUCUAAAUUUUGUCAGAUUAAGUUAUAAAGGGCGCAUGGUGGAUGCCUAGGCACUARRAGCCGAUGAAGGAC